AUACAGAGGGUGCGAGCGUUAAUCGGAAUUACUGGGCGUAAAGCGCGCGUAGGCGGCUUAUUAAGUCAGAUGUGAAAUCCCCGGGCUCAACCUGGGAACUGCAUCUGAUACUGGUAAGCUAGAGUUUGGGAGAGGGAAGUAGAAUUUCAGGUGUAGCGGUGAAAUGCAUAGAGAUCUGAAGGAAUACCAGUGGCGAAGGCGACUUCCUGGCCUAAAACUGACGCUGAGGUGCGAAAGCGUGGGUAGCAAACAGGAUUAGAAACCCUGGUAGUCC
rnacentral:rRNA from 1 species